ACCCAAGUAACCAUCCAGCACUUAAAAAAGUCACAAAAUAGCAAUAAAUCGGCAUUCUAUUGCUGAUUAGUCUUCCAACAGCAUUUGUAAAUGCAAAUCAGCACUAAAUCAUCAGCACUGUGAAAAGCUAAGAUAAUGCUGAUUAAGUGCCGCUACUAGCAACCCUUCUAAAAAUUUCCAUCAAACUGGCAACACGAUUCUGACUUUGAGUGAAGUGUGAAAGAGAGAGUACCAGGGUAAACAAACUUCUUGCUCACUCUUGCUUGCAGUUACACAGGCAAGUUUUUUUGUGUGCAGAAAUUGUUUGUAAUAUAUAUUUAAGUGUUGUAUCAUUUUGUACAAAAUAAUCGAUCGUCUCAAUGACGGAAAACUUCAAGUAGCCGUUCCCGCGAGUCCCGCGACCUUCCGGCCCGCUCUGGAUUCGUUUCCCGCGAGUCCCGCGACCUUCCGGCCCGCUCUGGUGUCGUUUCAGCGGUUUAAGGCCCACAAAAAGUCCGGAAUUUGCGAGGAAGCAGUAGCAUUGAGUUUCAGGACAGAACUUGGGACAGAAUCAGAUGCACCUUCGAAGGCUAUGACCCGCAUGACGUCAUCGACAACAACGGAGAAAAUGAGCUAGGUGCUACCCUGAACCGGGAGGGAGAUGUUUUGGUUUUCGUGCGACGUGCUUGGCAAAUAAAAGUAAAAAUUAAGUAAAUUUAUUUUCAUUUAAAAUAGAGGCAUCAUUUUAAUAAACAACUAUGUGAUUUUAAGAAAUUUCAAUAAAAAUAAGUAUAUAUCCAUUCA